GAAAGCCGUGUGCGGGAAAACCGCAAGCACGGUUUGAUGAGGGGAGGCUGAUGAACGAUCAGACCACAAGACACGCAGUAGCCGCGUGCGGCGAGGCGUCAGGGAAAAGACCUGUGCCGGUCGGUAAAUCUGCUUCCUACUCUAC
rnacentral:ncRNA from 1 species